GCACCCGUAGCUCAGUGGAUAGAGCAUCUGACUACGAAUCAGUUGGUCGGGGGUUCAAGUCCCUCCGGGUGCG
rnacentral:tRNA from 1 species